rnacentral:rRNA from 1 species
UACAGAGGUCCCAAGCGUUGUUCGGAUUCACUGGGCGUAAAGGGUGCGUAGGUGGUCGGGUAAGUCUGAUGUGAAAUCUCUGGGCUCAACCCAGAAAUGGCAUUGGAUACUAUCCGGCUUGAGGAGUGGAGGGGGAACUGGAAUACUUGGUGUAGCAGUGAAAUGCGUAGAUAUCCGGAGGAAUACCAGUGGCGAAGGCGGCACGCUGGGCCAUUACUGACGCUAAGACGCGAAAGCAUGGGUAGCGAACGGG